rnacentral:tRNA from 1 species
GCGGAUGUAGCUCAUCUGGUAGAGCGCCACCUUGCCAAGGUGG